rnacentral:lncRNA from 1 species
GAUCUCUCUCUGGAGAUCACUCCACUUGGAGCCCUUUCGGUGAGCCUGGGACACAGGCUAAGCAAAUCAAGUUCUCUCAGCCUGUCCCCAUGGAAGUACACCACUAACCAAAUGGUUGGUUUAUAUUUAAUAACCCUUCCCUGGGCUCUCUGCAGUUUGUCACUACCUUUCUUGGCUGUGAAGACCACGACGGAACUCAUUCAGAUACAGCAUCACAGCAUUUGACUGAAGGGGAGCAAUUAUUUCACUUGAUCUGCUGUCUGCACUGAACUAAUGCAAGUCAGUAUACUGCAGGUCUUUCUCACCAGAAGAGUUCUCUACAGUUCACAUUAAAUUUGCCAUCCACCAGGAUCCCAGGGUAAUUUCUGUGUGGAGGUGCUACCUGUUUGAAUAAUACCAAUGAAAAACAACUCUGAAUCAGUAGUGAUACCAGCAUAAGAACAAUGAAAAGGCAGACUCAGGGCUACAUUACAAACCUAGUUCUCCAUUCAGUUCAAUCCCACAUUAACUCCACUGACCUGUGUAGUGUUUCCUUCUUUUGUCACCUUCAGACAAAUAAAAGUGGCUACAUCUUGUGUAUAGAAAGGAAAAAAAAAGUGAAAUGAAAUAAAAUAAAAAAGUUCCUAGUGAAUAUUCAUCAUCAUUUUUGCUUUAAACAACAUAUUGUGUUCAAAGGUUGUAACAGUUCUCUAAUAAAGUAAUAAACUUCUGAUAUUUAGUUCAUUAACUGCUGUGAAGGAAAAAUAUUCAUGAUACUAAUUAUGAUUUAUAGCACAGCUGUGGGCAGACCAGACAUUCCCACAGAAAGAGAGAUGAGUAAUGACACCAAAUUGUGCUGAAACUAGUAGCAUCCUCCUUCUGCUCUAAGACUGUUCAAAGGAGUUUUGCUUUUGCUGCCACUUCGAUUAUCUUUUGUCAUGAUCUGGGAAGUCAUGCACAGCCAAGGUCUUCUCUCUUUAUAGAGAGCCCUGGUCAUGGAUUUUGCUGUUGAUCAUCACUUAGGUCUCUCCCUUGUCUCCUUUAAACUGUAGUAUUGAUUAUUUUGAACAGAAUACACAAAGAUGCCCUGAAUCUCUGGGCUGGAGACUGUCUCAAACCUUAACUGUAGAUGGAUUCUCAAAGAAUAAAUUUUAGAGGACUUUGUCUUUCACCUCAUGGCAUGAAGACAUCCUGGCUCCUUGAUACAGGCACAUGAGGAAAAUGAAAAUUCAUAAUCUUGGGAGAACUCUACAAAAUUUGAUGGUAGAAGUUAAAAAUGUCACAGACAACAAGAAAUCCUGGUUUUACCCUCAAAUAAAGAGAGAGAAAAAAUUUACAUCCUGAAGUUUUGUUUCACAUAGCAACACUAAACAUAUUCAGACUCUGUAUUCAUAGAAGACACUAAUUCUCUUAACAACAGGACAUAGUUUCUGUUUCCCAAUUUUAGAUAUUGUAACUUUAUUCAUUAUUAUUUCAUCUUUGCUACCAUUUUCCCAAUGGAUUUUCCAAAUAAUGGACCCUGUAUAAUUUCUCAGACAUUUUUACCAAUAUAAGGAGGCCGUGACAAAGCAAGCUAAUGUGUUACUUCUUUUUAGAAGAAAAUGUAGGAUAUUUUCUUUCGUUAUUGAUCAGCUCUAUAAAAAGAUGGCACCCAUUGUUAGAAAAGCCGUUGAUAACAGUAUGAUUAGAAGCUGUACGAUUAGAAGCCAAGUCUUCAGAAAGUUGCUGUGUAUGUUUCCCCUUAAUCAAGUCUUGCUACUUUACAGAAUUCUAUGCAAUAUAUACAAACCUAUUGUAUGACACACGUAAAAUUUGGAAUCAUGCAUUCUAUUCCUUCUACUUGAACUCAGUUCCAGAUUUAUUUAUUUAUUUUAUAUAAAGAUAAUUUUUCCAGAAUCUUAAAACAGGAAUGUCAUGGUUUUAUGAUUUCUGGUUAUCAGUAUUGCACAUCACAAUAUCAUGCAUUGUACUGGGAGUUAAAGAGCAAAUGCUUUAGUUUCAUGUACCUGUCUGGAAGAGAAGAAGAACUGCGUUCCCCAAGAGUCUUUUCGACUACUGUUAUCAUUCCUGCUCAAGGGAAUAGAUAUAAGGGUGCAGGUCAUCUGACUCAGCCUUCUUCUCGUCUUGCCAUGUUCCCUACCGGAUCAGCUCGCUACUGUUGCUUCCGACUGCGCACAAGGCUUCAGUAUUAGUGUAAGUCCUUUGGCUCUUGGACAAUCUUUCUCUCAAUUAUUGUUGAUUUAUAUUGUAUUAUAGUGUGUUAUCUUACAUUCCGAUACUAUAUUUAGUAAAUUAGUUUGUUUCUCUUC